rnacentral:tRNA from 2 species
GCGGGAUUGGUAUAGUGGCUAUUACGCGACCUUGCCAAGGUCGAGAGACGAGUUCAAUUCUCGUAUUCCGCUCCA